GACGAACGCUGGCGGCGUGCUUAACACAUGCAAGUCGAGCGGAGCGGCGAACGGGUGAGUAAGUCGUUAGUAACUGCCCCCCUCCCUGGGGUAACAGUUGGAAACGGCUGCCAAUACCGGAUAGUGUGGGAUGACUCUGCUCCUAUCAGCUUGUUGGUGGGGUAGUGGCCUACCUAGGCGACGCCGGGUAGCCGGCCUGAGAGGGUGACCAGCCACAUUGGGCUGAGAUACGGCCCAGACUCCUACGGGAGGCAGCAGUGGGGAAUAUUGCACAAUGGGGGAAAGCCUGAUGCAGCAACGCGCGUGCGGGAUGACGGCCUUCGGGUUGUAAACCGCUUUCAGCGAGGAGGCUAAUACGUAUCAACUGUGACGUUACUCGCAGAAGAAGCACCGGCUAACUCCGUGCCAGCCGCCGCGGUAAUUC
rnacentral:rRNA from 1 species